UUUAAAGCAGCUUUACAACACUUCGCAAACUUGUUUGGACACCUCCUUGUAAUAACGCAGCGAAUCUCCAGUGAUUUGUGAAUCGGUUCGUUCGGACACUCGUUGAUUCGAGUCUCUUCGGCUGCAUUUUACUGCAGGUGCUAUAAUUGGGUCCCCAGUGCUUCUGUCAACCUAGAAAAUGUGAAAAAGAACAACCCAGUAACUUAGUUUUGAUAUUGGCUCCAUUUCAGUGUCCUUACUGGAGUCCCGGGUAACAUCGGGAUGCUGGUAUGAUGGGUGAGAGAAUGAACGAGGGGUAAUGGGGGGCAUAACAGAAAACGAGGCAAUGAUUUGCCUGAAGCCCAGUUC